UUGACCCUCGCACUUUUCCUUUAAGAAGGUACCAUCCAAAUUAAUAAAUGGUCUCAAACAAUUUUUUUCAUCCUUCUUUCAAAGCUUGGAAGCAAAUGUACAUUCUCAAAAAUUCUUUUUUCCUUCUUCAAGUGCAUCCUUUGAUAGGUUAAUUACAAAGUGAGUUCCUGAAUUUGUAUGUCUAAUUUCGUGUUCAUAAGCUUCUACUUCUUCUAUUCAUCUCUAAAGUUGUCCUCUAGCCUCUCAAGGGACAAUCUUUUAGCCCUUUUCGGCUUACUUCUAGACAUAUUCACUUAAAAAGUAUUCUCCAACUGCUUCUCAUAUCUUUGACAACAUACUUAGGAUUAUUCUGC
rnacentral:lncRNA from 1 species